UAAAUGGCUUUUUUUAAAGCCACCCACUUAGCACCACUCUGUUAU
rfam:Oryctolagus cuniculus chromosome 15, whole genome shotgun sequence.